rnacentral:rRNA from 1 species
AUUGAACGCUGGCGGCAUGCUUUACACAUGCAAGUCGAACGGCAGCGCGGGCUUCGGCCUGGCGGCGAGUGGCGAACGGGUGAGUAAUACAUCGGAACGUGCCCAGUAGUGGGGGAUAGCUCGGCGAAAGCCGGAUUAAUACCGCAUCCGACCUGAGGGUGAAAGCGGGGGAUCUUCGGACCUCGCGCUAUUGGAGCGGCCGAUGGCCGAUUAGCUAGUUGGUGGGGUAAAGGCCUACCAAGGCGACGAUCUGUAGCUGGUCUGAGAGGACGACCAGCCACACUGGGACUGAGACACGGCCCAGACUCCUACGGGAGGCAGCAGUGGGGAAUUUUGGACAAUGGGCGAAAGCCUGAUCCAGCAAUGCCGCGUGUGUGAUGAAGGCCUUCGGGUUGUAAAGCACUUUUGGCGGGAACGAAAAGGACUGUGCCAAUACCACGGUUCGAUGACGGUACCCGCAGAAUAAGCACCGGCUAACUACGUG